rnacentral:lncRNA from 1 species
UCUUUUUUUUUCCUUUUAUAUUUUAUUUUUAUUUUUAUUUUCUCAUAUUUUUUCUUGAAUUUUUUGAGAGCCAAACAUACCCUUUAUGUUUUAGGUUUUCAAGAGUAUUGUCAAACAAAUAUUAACACCCUAUUUGAUAACUAUUUUUUAAAAUUGUUCUUUAAUAUUUUAUAAAAUAAAAAUCUUUUUGGAACCUAAAAUAAUUUUAACAUGUUUUUUUAAUAAUUUUUAUGUUUAAAGCUUUAUUUUUAAUCAUUAUACAUGUUUGUUUAAAACAAAUGAAAAUAACUAAAAAUAACUAAAAGAUGUGCAAAAAAUAGAUUUUUGAUUGUCAAAUAUGUUUUUCAAUUUUUUUUCUAAGAAAUAAAAAAUUAUUCUCGAAAACAAUGGUAAAACAAACCCUAAACCAUUGAGCCUGACUCAAAACUUACACGACAUUGAAUUUAACCAAUUUCGUUGGUCCAAUUGGGGUCAAUAUUCUUUUGUAGGCCAGCCUGACAACCCAACCCUUGACAGGUCAUGUAAAUGUUGUCCACCCUCCCUUUAUCUUUGGUUCUAAUAGUUUAUAAAUCAUCAUUUUCAAUAAUAUUUCAUAAAUUAUGAGUUCCUUUUUUCAUAGUCAUAUGUUUCAACUAUGUUGAAUGAAUGAAUGGUAGCAACUCCUAUCUUCCUCUAUAAUGACAGAGGUAGUUUUGAGAUGACAAUUCCAACUUAUCCAACACUUUCAAUGAGUCCAUUUCCAAAAUUAUGCCUAACCUUUGAAAAAGGUGCUUUCAAAUAUUAUAUAUAUAUAUAUAUAACUGAAUUAAGUUUAUGGAUUUACUUAGACCAUUUUAUGGAUCAAUAGAGAAUUUUGAUUUUUGAAACAUCUUUCAAUCUUGUUCGAGAUGGUCUAACCAACUAAUCACUAAGUUAUCAAAGGUAAGAGUCGUAUCCCACUAAGAAUACAUGUAUCACUAUCCAACCUAACUUUUGAUUCAUUUUUCAUAUCAUGAUUCAUUUCCAUUUUCAUUCUAUUUCAAAUCUUAUUUUCAUAAACAAAACCCACCAUUAGAGUUUGUUUGCUUGCUACUCCAAAACAAAAAUUGAGAAAAUAAAAAUAAAAAAAAUAAAAAAUGAAAGCAUGUUUAGGGAUGAGUUAAAAAAAAAAUCUUAAAAAUAAAAAUUAAAUAGAGUGUUUUCUCAUAAUAUAUUUAAAUUGUUCUUACUUGUUUUCUAAGAAUUAUUUUUUAAAAAUACUAUUCAUAAAAAUUAAUUUUUUUAAUAUUUAAAAAGAAAUAAAACAAGUUAAGAACAUUUAAAGUUUUCAAACAAAAUUUUAUUAUGCAUAAUAUUCAAAAAAAUAAUUUAAAACUUAUAAUUAUUUUUAAAAAUAUUUUCCCAACAUAACCUUAAUUUUCUUUUUUCACUCACCCCAAAGUAUAUAAAAUACAUAGUAACAAUUGUUAUUAAAAAAUUAGCUCUCUUUUCUUUUUAGAACUAUCAACCAACCAAUAUUUGUGUGUAUGAGUUCCUACAUAUAUUUGGUUAUGAUUUAUUUAAAAAUGAAUAUACCAUCUUUCAAUAACUACAAUAAAUAAAUAAAUAUAUAUAUAUAUAUAUAUAUAUAUAAUUACAAAUUUUAAUAAUAUUUUAUUUUUAUAUUUGAUAUAUCAAAUUAAAUAAUAAAGAUAAAUAUAAAUGUAUUUUGAAAAAAAUCCAAUUUUUAAGCUCAUUUAUACCCAUUUUUUAAAGAACUCAUCUGAACUCUCCAUUUUCACACUUAAUCUUUACCAUUCAUUUAAGGACAAACCCUGAAACUCAUAUCUUCCUAUCACCAACCACAUCUCCCUUUUUUCUCCCAUCUUUCUUUCCCUUUCUCUUCUUUUCUUUCUUUCUCUCUCUCUCUCACCAUACCCACGCCUAUUGUGACCACCAACCACCUCUUGCCAACAACUCCUAUUGUUAGUCACUGGCGUCUCAUUCCCACCCCCUCACUAUCUCUCUCAUGAAAAAAAAAGACAUGUUGUGAAUCGAUUCAUUGGAAUCGAUGAGGUUUAACAAUAUCACUCUUAAAAGUCAAAAAGCAUAUUCCAAACAAGAUAUUAUUCAUAGAUGAUGGAUUUCAAGGAUUUUCAAGUUGAUGGAUUUCAACAAAAUUCAAGAUAGAAAUUGAACUUUGUAAUAAACUUUAUAUUAAAAUAAUACUUUGAUUAUAGAAAGUUUGAAUCUUGAAUUGAUACAAAACUUUGAUUACAAUGAAAUGUUUUGAAUACAAGAGAAGAGUUUGAAAAAGAGAGACAUGAUUUUUUUAAAAGGAUCUAAGAAAUUAUCCACCCACUUGAACCCUAAGGGUAGCUCAGUUGGUCCUAUCUUGAGUUUGCUCCCCAAUCAUCAUUAGUUCAAGUUCUUUCAAGAUCGCUAAGGCUUACUCUCGUUAAGCCCACGAUUAUAAAAAAAAAUUCCACCAACAACUCUUGAAAUUCACCCACAGUGCUAUAAAUGAAUGGAAUUUGCUCUUCCUAAUAUUGUUACGGUUAAUUGGAUAUAUAUAUAUAUAUAUAUAAUUAUUCUUUUAAAGAACGAAUUUUUCAGUUUUUUAAAACUAUUUUGAAUAAUAUAUAAAAAAUAAAAUUAGCACAGAGGAAAGAUUUAAUUGAUUUCUGGCGAGGAAAAGUAUUCCAGAAAACUAGAUUUCAAAAUGUCAAUCACCUUCUGUUUGGGUUGAGAGAAAACUAGGGAUAAAAAGAAAAAGGGGGAAACUUUCAAAUCUCAAAUCCGUAUUGAUUUGGUUCCCAGAACGUAAGAUUAAAUAAGGAAAAAAAUUUGACAAACCCACCUCAAGCAGCGAUUUCCCUAGUAACCCAAAGUAACGAAAGCCACAAGAUUCAUUUUCCUUGUGUAAAAUUUUCUCGGCAACCAAAAAGAGACGGAAAGGAAGAAACGAGCCUUCAGAGGUGUGUGCGCAUCAUCACAAGGCCCAGAGGAGGGGUGCGUACAGGGAGAGUAGAGAAAGUGGGAGAAGAAGAAACGAGCAGCAGAUGUUAGAAUUCAGAUUGAAAACUAAAUCAGCAUCAUUAAAUUGACGAAUGUUCUUUCAGGUUUUCAUGUCCACAUGUAUCUGCCGCUUCAAGUUUUGCCUCUCUUCUCCUGCCUUUCUCAAAGCCCCUCUUCACCGCCCCCUUCUAUCGGAUCCUGGUGCGGUGGGUCCUUAUAUAUCAGUCAUGUGGGAGUUAGGGUUUUUUUUCUUUGGUCCUAGGUCUGCAUAGGUUAAAUGUACUAUUCAUAAUUCAAAUUCUCUGGGUGGGUCUAAACGCUAACAAUUCUUUCAGUCUGAAGCUAACAGUAACCACAGACUCAUCAGGUUGAGUUUUGGCUGAAUGGUUCCUCUUGCAUAAUUGUAUUUGAAAUUAAUAAUAACUUUUGCUAUCAAGUAAAAAGCAAAAACCAAAAAUUGAA